rnacentral:sRNA from 1 species
UAUCAGAUAGGGAUUGUAGUGGCAUCCUUGGCUUGACAACCUAAAGUGGCAAGACAAGAUACAACGGAAAGCCCGCAGACCU